UUUUAUUUUUCUCUUUCCUGGCAAUUGGCAUAAUGCGACUUGUUUUGCAAAUCAAUUACAUACAACUAGUUGCUUAUUGUUAUUUAGCUGUGUAAGCAUUGAAUGAACAAGGUGUAUUAUGCCUGCGUCCACACUGGCCUGGUCAGGAUGUCAGCAACUUGCUUAUUGAACCAUUCUAGCUGGUCUAUAACAAGGUGUAUUUUCUUGCUUGUGCAACUCUCUCUCAACCUCUGCUUCUCUGGAAAACUGUGUCACUGUAACCUCUUUUGCAUGCCCUUCUUUUCUUUCCUUUUUCCUCUUCCUUAAGUUUCCUUUGUACUCUGUUAGCGGAAAUUGACAAGUGUUCCCAUGUUUUUCUUUGGAUUUUUGGCUUGAGACUUUGAUGCUUUCUUUGGUGUCAUCACUGUGCUUGUUUUUUUGAAUUUUUUUGAGGAUUUGGCGAUGUGUAGAAUAGUUCUCGAGCGUUUCUUUGAUUUGGGUUUUCGUUUUGACGUUUCUUGUGAUUUUCUCAGCGAUGUUUAACUGGAACGACGAAGAGCUUACAGAUAUAAUAUGGGAUGCGGCUGGUGAGAGUGAUGACCAUAUUGUGCCCUAUCCAGAGGCAAGUGAAGAGUAUUCCAAGAAUCAGUGGAGUCAAGAAGCUAAUAACUCUAAGUUUAAUGAACAGAAGGCACCUGGCGCUAAAGUUGAUAUCCAUGGCAGGAACCUGGACGGCAAUUUAAACUUCGACUCCAGUGAAGGACCUUCUGCCACUGGAUUUGGCAUAGACUCAUGGCCUCACCUGUCCUUAUCAACUGCUGCCAAAGCUGAUCAGCAUUCCUUGGAUACGUCAAUAUCUAACAAUUUAACUGAAAUUACAAAAUUUGAUUCUUCCGGAGGUGCAGAGACAGUUCAACUUGAUAAGGAGACUGAAAUUUUUCAAAAAGUUAAAGAACAAGGUGAUUUCGUUGAUUAUGGCUGGGCUAACAUUGGAAGCUUUGAUGACCUUGAUCGAAUUUUUAGGUAAAGAACAAUAUCUGUUUCUUUCUCCCUUCUAAUGUGCAGCAGGCAGCUGUCAAUGGGCAUUUCCAGAGGAAGGGGGAACUUAAACUGAGUCCCCCAACUCCCCAUGCCUUAAAGGUGUGAGUAGUAACAAUCAGGCCAUACCUGAUUAAUUUCUGCUCCUUAAUGAAGCAUUGUCUUGACAACAUCAUGAUUUGGAACCUAAAUAGUUUUUAAUUAUAGAUGAAACAUUUUAUUGACUGUUUAUUUUGAAUUCAGAAAAUUGAAAAUUAAGCAUGUCAUAGAAUAGUUCUGCCAUCAUGGAGAGACCGCCAGUCUCUUUAGAAUGUAGUUUGACCUGAACUUCUCGCAUCUGAGUCAUUUGCUCUAAAUUUAUCUGAACAAUUUGUUUGGAAUUUGGUCAACAUGUCAGUGGUAGAAGCCUGGAAGGAUUUCCUGCUCUUGUAUUCUUCUCUUUCACUAUGCUCCUAUACCUUUUUUUUCCCCAUUCCCCUUUGCAAUGAUAACCAUCUGACUCAACAUCCUCACAAGUGGUGAUUUUGCAGCAAUGAUGAUCCUAUAUUUGGCACCGUAAGUCUCAGUAAUGCUGAUGAGCUCUGGUCUUCUUCUAAAGAUGCAACUAACAGUCCAGGAAAGUCCUUUCCCAUUUAUGCGGGCUCUCCAUCUUUGGGGUUAGGGCCUUUAAAGAAUACAUCUGAGAAUUCGGAGAUUAAAUCUGAGUGUGUACAAGAUGAUGACCACACAUAUACACUUGACUAUGGGAAACUGAAUGAUCCUGCAUCUCAUGGUCUGCAGAAUGCAUGUGCUGUCCUGGAUCAUGUAAAAUAUGCUGGAGGUAAAAGUAAGCCCACGGUGAAGGAGCAGAAUGAUUUGACCAUAAUGGGAAAGAACACUGCAGUAAACUCUCAGCGUACUGUGGAAAAUGUUGCUGCACCAAAUGAAUUGGCAGAUAAGGUUUAUAAGCAAAAGAAACCCUUGAAACGUCAGAAAAGGUUUGAAGAACAAAGUGA
rnacentral:misc_RNA from 1 species